CGUCGUCUCUGACGACCACCAAUGAUUCAUCAGCCUGAGAGAAUCGCCUUCGGGUGGCUGAACAGAAAGCUCCUGUAGCCUGAAAGGGAGCACACAUCGUGUGGUACAUCUGCGCACCUUUGGAAGCAGAUAUCGUCAACAGACGGCACCUGGUGCCU
rfam:Erwinia sp. EM595 isolate E_g_EM595 genome assembly, plasmid: pEM02